GACGAACGCUGGCGGCGUGCUUAACACAUGCAAGUCGAACGGAAAGGCCCUGCUUUUGUGGGGUGCUCGAGUGGCGAACGGGUGAGUAACACGUGAGUAACCUGCCCUUGACUUUGGGAUAACUUCAGGAAACUGGGGCUAAUACCGGAUAGGAGCUCCUGCUGCAUGGUGGGGGUUGGAAAGUUUCGGCGGUUGGGGAUGGACUCGCGGCUUAUCAGCUUGUUGGUGGGGUAGUGGCUUACCAAGGCUUUGACGGGUAGCCGGCCUGAGAGGGUGAGCGGCCACAUUGGGACUGAGAUACGGCACAGACUACUACGGGAGGCAGCAGUGGGGAAUAUUGCACAAUGGGCGGAAGCCUGAUGCAGCAACGCCGCGUGCGGGAUGACGGCCUUCGGGUUGUAAACCGCUUUCGCCUGUGACGAAGCGUGAGUGACGGUAAUGGGUAAAGAAGCACCGGCUAACUACGUG
rnacentral:rRNA from 1 species